GCCCGGCUAGCUCAGUCGGUAGAGCAUGAGACUCUUAAGGUAGAGCAUGAGACUCUUAAUCUCAGGGUCGCGGGUUCGAGCCCCACGUUGGGCG